UACGGGGGGGGCAAGCGUUGUUCGGAAUUACUGGGCGUAAAGGGCUCGUAGGCGGCCAACUAAGUCGGACGUGAAAUCCCCAGGCUCAACCUGUGAAUGCCGCUGGAAACUGUCUGGCUAGAGUCCGGAAGGGGCGAGUGGAAUUCCUGGUGUAGCGGUGAAAUGCGCAGAUAUCAGGAGGAACACCAAUGGCGAAGGCAGCUCGCUGGGACGGUACUGACGCUGAGGCGCGAAAGCGUGGGGAGCAAACAGG
rnacentral:rRNA from 1 species